rnacentral:lncRNA from 1 species
GUGAGCUCUGUUAGAGAAAAGAGUGUGUGAACUCUGAAUUAUGAUGAGUGUGUGAGCUCUCAAAUGUUGCAUACACCCACUUCCAUAUACUGAUGGACUGUCCUUGCUAGCUAGCGGGCAAAAUUCUAACUUUGUCCUUGAUUUAGUUUAUUGUACUAGCUAUUUUGGCACUUAUAUGUAUACUUUGUUAGAUAAACUGAUAGAGUGCAUUCAUUUG